UACGAAGGGGGGCUAGCGUUGCUCGGAAUUACUGGGCGUAAAGCGCACGUAGGCGGGUUCUUAAGUCGGUGGUGAAAUCCUGGAGCUCAACUCCAGAACUGCCUUCGAAACUGGGAAUCUUGAGUCCGGGAGAGGUGAGUGGAACUGCGAGUGUAGAGGUGAAAUUCGUAGAUAUUCGCAAGAACACCAGUGGCGAAGGCGGCUCACUGGCCCGAUACUGACGCUGAGGUGCGAAAGCGUGGGGAGCAAACAGG
rnacentral:rRNA from 1 species